AACGAACGCUGGCGGCAUGCCUAACACAUGCAAGUCGAACGAGACCUUCGGGUCUAGUGGCGCACGGGUGCGUAACGCGUGGGAAUCUGCCCUUAGGUACGGAAUAACUCAGAGAAAUUUGUGCUAAUACCGUAUGAUGUCGAAAGACCAAAGAUUUAUCGCCUAAGGAUGAGCCCGCGUAAGAUUAGCUUGUUGGUGAGGUAAAAGCUCACCAAGGCGACGAUCUUUAGCUGGUCUGAGAGGAUGAUCAGCCACACUGGGACUGAGACACGGCCCAGACUCCUACGGGAGGCAGCAGUGGGGAAUAUUGGACAAUGGGCGAAAGCCUGAUCCAGCAAUGCCGCGUGAGUGA
rnacentral:rRNA from 1 species